rnacentral:tmRNA from 1 species
GGGAGUGACUUGGCUUCGACAGGAGCAAGUUGGUUUUGACUGCAUGCCGCUUUGAACAGAGCGCAAAAAGUUCAUUAAAUUUAGACGCAAAUAACAAAAAUUUCGCUCCCGCUUACGCAAAAGUCGCGUAAGUUUCAUCCUUAAAGGGAGGCUUCGCACCGCAGAUGCUAUCUAUGCGGAUUUUGUGAGGCUCGUAAAACAGAUAGCUUGAUUUGGCGCUUAGCUAACGUCAAAUUGAAAUCUAAGCUUGCGCUUUUGUGUAGUUUUCGCGGAUUGAAUCAAGCAAAAGCAAAGCCUUAAUCAAUCCUUCUAAGCAUGUAGACGUUGGGAUGGGACUUGUUUUUGGACAGGGGUUCGAUUCCCCUCACUUCCACCA